rnacentral:rRNA from 1 species
UACGUAGGUGGCAAGCGUUGUCCGGAUUUACUGGGUGUAAAGGGCGUGUAGCCGGGCUGACAAGUCAGAUGUGAAAUCCGGGGGCUCAACCCCCGAACUGCAUUUGAAACUGUUGGUCUUGAGUACUGGAGAGGCAGACGGAAUUCCUAGUGUAGCGGUGAAAUGCGUAGAUAUUAGGAGGAACACCAGUGGCGAAGGCGGUCUGCUGGACAGCAACUGACGCUGAGGCGCGAAAGCGUGGGGAGCAAACAGG